rnacentral:misc_RNA from 1 species
ACAAGUUUUAUUUUGUAAUUACUGCAGACUGAUAAGCAGUGCUACGUGCAUCAUAUCUGUACUUGCAAUUAAGAAAUCAGUAUGUCUUAUAAAAUUAAUUGAACUUUUCAAAACCAUGCAUUCCAAUUUGCUCUGCACAAGUCCAAGGCUGUCUUUGUUCAUUUUGAUUGAAAUGAACUUGACAAUACAAGAGUACCAGUGACAUUUUUUUAAUUUGCUCAUAAGGCAGCUCUUUUUUUCUGAGGAGGAGAAAGGAUGGGCAUAAAAAGCUUUACUAACACUAUAUCCAUCAUUUUACUGACUUCUACAUUUGAAUAUCAUGAACUAUACUGAUGUCAAAUGAAAAAAGAAACUGGAACUUACUCCAAUAGCUAGUAUUGCUUGGCUGCAACUG